UACAGAGGGUGCGAGCGUUGUCCGGAAUCACUGGGCGUAAAGGGCGUGUAGGCGGUUUGUUAAGUCAUGUGUGAAAUCCCUCGGCUCAACCGGGGAACGACGCAUGAAACUGGCAAGCUAGAGUACCAAAGAGGGGGGUGGAAUUCCCGGUGUAGCGGUGAAAUGCGUAGAUAUCGGGAAGAACACCAGUGGGCGAAGGCGGCUCACUGGACUGGUAUUGACGCUGAGGUGCGAAAGCGUGGGGAGCAAACAGG
rnacentral:rRNA from 1 species